rnacentral:rRNA from 1 species
AAACGUCCGGGGCUGAAACACGACACCGAAGCCGUGGACUCGCAAUGCGAGUGGUAGAGGAGCAUUCUUAAAACCGACGAAGCUGUACCGGAAGGAGCAGUGGAGGGAUAAGAAGAGAGAAUGCCGGAAUGAGUAGCGAGAGAAAGGUGGGAAUCCUUUCGGCCGAAUAUCUAAGGUUUCCAGAGUAAAGCUGAUCUGCUCUGGGUAAGUCGGGGCCUAAGCACAGGUCGCAAGACGUAAGCGAUGGAUAACAGGUUUAGAUUCCUGUACCACGCAUUAUCAGAACUGUAGGGACGCAUGUGGAAAGCACGGGCCGGGAAUGGAAAGACCGGUACAAGCGGGGUAGGUGUACAAUAGGCAAAUCCGUUGUAUAAUCCGAAGACGUGAUGUGGAGCGAAAUAAAGUAGUGAAGCGUGUGAGCCAUGUGCCGAGAAAAGCUGCUAUUGUGUAAUGCGUGCCCGUACCGUAAACCGACACAGGUGGAUGAGGAGAGAAUCCUAAGGCCGGCGGAAGAAGCAUUGUUAAGGAAUUCGGCAAAAUGACCCCGUAACUUCGGGAGAAGGGGUGCCUGCGAGAGCAGGCCGCAGAGAAUAGGCUCAAGCAACUGUUUAGCAAAAACACAGGUCUAUGCGAAACCGAAAGGUGAAGUAUAUGGGCUGACGCCUGCCCGGUGCUGGAAGGUUAAGAGGAGAGGUUAGCUUCGGCGAAGCUUUGAAUUUAAGCCCCAGUAAACGGCGGCCGUAACAAUAACGGUCCUAAGGUAGCGAAAUUCCUUGUCGGGUAAGUUCCGACCCGCACGAAAGGCGUAAUGAUUUGAGCACUGUCUCGACAAUGCAUCCGGUGAAAUUGAAGUACCAGUGAAGAUGCUGGUUACCCGCGCCAGGACGGAAAGACCCCAUGGAGCUUUACUCCAGUUUGAUACUGGGAUUCGGUACUGCAUGUACAGGAUAGGUGGGAGACGAAGAAGGAUGGACGCCAGUCUGUCCGGAGUCGCUGUUGGGAUACCACCCCUGUAGUACUGGGUUUCUAACCAGUUGCCAUGAACUGGCAAUGGGACAAUGUCAGGCGGGGAGUUUGACUGGGGCGGUCGCCUCCGAAAGGGUAUCGGAGGCGCUCAAAGGUUUCCUCAGAAUGGUUGGAAACCAUUUGAAGAGUGCAAAGGCAGAAGGGAGCUUGACUGCGACACCGACGGGUGGAGCAGGUACGAAAGUAGGACUUAGUGAUCCGGUGGUAUAAAGUGGGAUUGCCAUCGCUCAACGGAUAAAAGCUACCCUGGGAUAACAGGCUUAUCACUCCCAAGAGUUCACAUCGACGGAGUGGUUUGGCACCUCGAUGUCGGCUCAUCGCAUCCUGGGGCUGUAGCAGGUCCCAAGGGUUGGGCUGUUCGCCCAUUAAAGCGGUACGCGAGCUGGGUUCAGAACGUCGUGAGACAGUUCGGUCCCUAUCCGGCGCGGGCGGAGGAUAUUUGAGAGGAGCUGUCCUUAGUACGAGAGGACCGGGAUGGACGGACCACUGGUGUAUCUGUUGUCGACCAACGGCAUGGCAGAGUAGCCAAGUCUGGAAGGGAUAAACGCUGAGGGCAUCUAAGCGUGAAGCCCCCCUCAAGAUGAGAUAUCCCUCCUUCGGGAGUAAGACCCCUUGAAGACUACAAGGUAGAUAGGGCAGAGGUGGAAGCAUGGCAACAUGUGGAGCUGACUGUUACUAAUAGGUCGAGGGCUU